GCUUCCUACGGGAGGCAGCAGUAGGGAAUCUUCCGCAAUGGACGAAAGUCUGACGGAGCAACGCCGCGUGAGUGAUGAAGGCUUUCGGGUCGUAAAACUCUGUUGUUAGGGAAGAACAAGUACGAGAGUAACUGCUCGUACCUUGACGGUACCUAACCAGGAAGCCACGGCUAACUACGUGCCAGCAGCCGCGGUAAUACGUAGGUGGCAAGCGUUAUCCGGAAUUAUUGGGCGUAAAGCGCGCGCAGGCGGUUUUUUAAGUCUGAUGUGAAAGCCCACGGCUCAACCGUGGAGGGUCAUUGGAAACUGGGGAACUUGAGUGCAGAAGAGAAAAGCGGAAUUCCACGUGUAGCGGUGAAAUGCGUAGAGAUGUGGAGGAACACCAGUGGCGAAGGCGGCUUUUUGGUCUGUAACUGACGCUGAGGCGCGAAAGCGUGGGGAGCAAACAGGAUUAGAUACCCUGGUAGUCCACGCCGUAAACGAUGAGUGCUAAGUGUUAGAGGGUUUCCGCCCUUUAGUGCUGCAGCUAACGCAUUAAGCACUCCGCCUGGGGAGUACGGUCGCAAGACUGAAACUCAAAGGAAUUGACG
rnacentral:rRNA from 1 species